rnacentral:rRNA from 1 species
AUAACUUUCAACAACGGAUCUYUUGGUUCUYGCAUCGADGAAGAACACAGCGAAAWGUGAUAAGUAGWGUGAAUUGCAGAAUUCAGUGAAUCAUCGAAUCUUUGAAUGCAUCUUGCGCUCCUUGGUAUUCCGAGGAGCAUGCCYGUUUGAGUGUCAUAAAA